rnacentral:misc_RNA from 1 species
UCCGGCUUAUCACCGGCAGUUUCCUUAGAGUGCCCAACUAAAUGAUGGCAACUAAGGAUGAGGGUUGCGCUCGUUGCGGGACUUAACCCAACAUCUCACGACACGAGCUGACGACAGCCAUGCAACACCUGUGUGGGAGCCAGCCAAACUGAAGAAUUCCUUUUCUGGAAUUCAUACUCCCCAUGUCAAGGCCUGGUAAGGUUCUUCGCGUUGCCUCGAAUUAAACCACAUGCUCCACCGCUUGUGCGGGUCCCCGUCAAUUCCUUUGAGUUUUAAUCUUGCGACCGUACUCCCCAGGCGGAAUGCUUAAUGCGUUAGCGACGCCACUGAGUCUUGCGACCCAACAGCUAGCAUUCAUAGUUUAGGGCGUGGACUAC